rnacentral:rRNA from 1 species
AUGCAGGCCACAGCAAGCCAGCAAGAGCUAUCCACCUAUCCAACGUGGGGGGUCUCGGCGACGGUGCCCACGAAGAUGCGGACACGGUUGGGCCUCAAGUCCUCGGUCACGGCGGAGCCGACCGGCACCAUGACAAUGUCGGCGUCGGGCUUGUCCUUCAGGAUGAUCUCCUUGGCCUCCUUGAUGGUCAGCCCCACCACCUCCGGCGACGAAGUCUUCUUUCCACCGGCGAGGUCGUCGGAGGAACUCAUCUUCGUAGCACUGGUUGAUAAUUUGAGAUCGAUCGAUCAAUCAGAGAUAGCUUAA